rnacentral:lncRNA from 1 species
AUUUUUAAUCCCUAAUUUUUGCCCGAACCUUUUCAUUUUCUUGGUUCGUCGGGAUGCCCAUUUUUUUUGGACUAUUUUUUUUAUUGUUCAGCGGGUCUAUUUCAUGUGAAGUAUUUUUUAACUGCGUCUGAGUUCACGGGGGAAGUGAAGUCUUCACCAUCCAUAGUUUCCAGUAUUAAGGCCCCACCAUCGAAAAUCUUGGUAAUAAUGUAUGGUCCAUCAUAGUUAGGAGUCCACUUUCCC